AGUGAACGCUGGCGGUAGGCCUAACACAUGCAAGUCGAACGGCAGCACAGUAAGAGCUUGCUCUUACGGGUGGCGAGUGGCGGACGGGUGAGGAAUACAUCGGAAUCUACUUUUUCGUGGGGGAUAACGUAGGGAAACUUACGCUAAUACCGCAUACGACCUACGGGUGAAAGCAGGGGAUCUUCGGACCUUGCGCGAUUGAAUGAGCCGAUGUCGGAUUAGCUAGUUGGCGGGGUAAAGGCCCACCAAGGCGACGAUCCGUAGCUGGUCUGAGAGGAUGAUCAGCCACGCUGGAACUGAGACACGGUCCAGACUCCUACGGGAGGCAGCAGGGGGGAAUAUUGGACAAUGGGCGCAAGCCUGAUCCAGCCAUACCGCGUGGGUGAAGAAGGCCUUCGGGUUGUAAAGCCCUUUUGUUGGGAAAGAAAAGCAGCAGGUUAAUACCCCGCUGUUCUGACGGUACCCAAAGAAUAAGCACCGGCUAACUUCGUG
rnacentral:rRNA from 1 species